rnacentral:lncRNA from 1 species
GCUGAAAGCCCACUGGAGUCCUUCAUUCCCUGCAGGCCCAAGUGUGGCCCGAAGUUGAUCUCCGUUGUGAUGUCGCUGUCCUCGAAUUUGGUCUCUGUUUGCCUGGCUGGGUGCCAUGCACCACAACGCCUGCUGCACAAGCCAUCCUUUCAAACCCUUCCUGCAUCCUGUACCAGGUUCUGAGAGAAGAAACCUUCCUUGGAACACUUUCCGAAUCUGAUUUCCAUCUGCCUGUCCCUGGAAGAGGCAACAAAAGUCAACAACACUUAUCCAAGGAAAGGAUGGUUUCUGAGCGAUGAAUUUACUUAGAAAGCACACUGAGAUUGCCAUCCUGUUCCCCAAAGCUGAAGAGAGUGGAGAUAACAGCUUCUGGCUGGGAGAAUGAGCAACCCUUCUCCAAAUGGUAGUUUGUGUUGAGAAGCACAAGGUUCAAGUGGAGAAUUAAAGCAUGCCAGAAGUUUCUUCCAAAUGGAUGGGUGCCAGUCAUCCCAUCUCCCUGUAACCCAUCUCCCUCCUCCCUGAGUGGGGGACUGCUGUGUGGCAUUUGGUAAAGCAUAUUUGAAAAUUGCUUAAAAUUUUCUCUAGCAUCUUCUGUGAGAAUUUUCAAGCAUACCAAAAUGUUGAAAGAAUUUUACAGUGUACUCCUAUUUACCCACCACCUAAGUUGUAUAUUUGACAUUCUGUGUAUUAUUUGCUUGAUCACAUGUCUGCCCAACUACAUCUAUCUGUCCCCUGUCCAACCCCUCAUCCAUCCAUAAUCCAUCCAUCUUACUCUGUUGUUACUGUUUAUUUAUUUAUUUAACUUUAUUUUGUAC